rnacentral:misc_RNA from 2 species
AAUUCUCAACCUUAUUAGCUUUUGCUACUAAUGGCUUGGACUUGGGGGUUAUUUGCUGGCUUCUUUAUCGAGGUCAGCUCCCCUUAAAUGCAUUAGCUGGUUGUCUUUGACCUGUCUAUUGGUGUGAUAAUUAUCUACGCCGUGGGCUUGUCUGUAUAGCACCGCUUCUAAUAGUCUGUUCAUUCAGACACUUUAUGACC